rnacentral:rRNA from 1 species
AUGCUGCUGCGACGCCAGAAGCUGCCGCCGGCGGGGACCAAGCGCAAGAUCCCGGAGCCGCCCGCGUGCCCUCCACUCUGCUCGAUAUGGACGACGAGCCCUCGAGAGAUGGAGGAGAGGGCCGAGAGGUUCCAGGCGUACAUGAGCACCGUACGCGAGAACAUCCGGAAGCUGGGGGAGGCCUUUGCGCAGGAGGACGACGCGGAGCAAGCAGAUUAA